rnacentral:lncRNA from 1 species
AUGGGAGGAGUUAAAGGAAAUAGAAAAUUCAGUAUCAAGCUCUUCGUGCCAUUACUUGAUACAAUUUCCAAAGCUACAAACUUCCUUGGAGGUUGUGGCACCCUUCCCCCCGCCGCCAAUGACUCAUAUGGCACUUGCUCUGAGCUAUCUUGCAGGACACCAGAAGUCCCACUCUUGAUGAGCCUGGCUGAUGGGUCCCGGAUCUUCACUGGAACUUCCCAGGCACCACCACAACCAUUUCGGGCUAGAAGGGGAACGUCCCAUCACUUAGCCGUACUUGAUACAACUGUCCCCACUGUUGUCACUGGCAACUGGUAAAUAUUAAGCUUCUGUUCUAUGCCAGGUACCAUGGAUACAAAGAUGAAAAAGAGACUGUAGUACUGCCCUAGGGAACUCUGGAGGAGAUAGUCACCCUGGCAAACAAGCCAACAAAAUCCCAAACAGCUUCUAGGAAGGGGCAAAAGAAAGUGGUGUCGGAGCCCCGAGGGGCAGGAACCCACUUGGCCCUGAGGAAAGAGGCCCUUGCCCUCUAUUUACAACUGACAAGCCUAAAUGGCAGGGAUUUGAAGGUCUGUGUACAGGGCACUGGGAUGUUCAGAAGGGAAGUAUUCUGUUCAUCUGCUAAGUAAUCUAUAGAUGAAGGAGUUCCCGCUGUGGUACAAUGGGAUUGGCUUAUUCUUUGGA